GCGCCCGCGGAGCUCGCUCCCGGGGCUACCCUACUCCCGUAGGGUUUAGAGUCGUCGGGCCUCUCGGAGAAGCUCGGUCCUGAACUCCACCCUUGAAUAAACUACCUUUGUUGCUUUGGCGGGCCGCCUCGUGCCAGCGGCUUCGGCUGUUGAGUGCCCGCCAGAGGACCCCAACUCUUGUUUUUAGUGAUGUCUGAGUACUAUAUAAUAGUUAAAACUUUCAACAACGGAUCUCUUGGUUCUGGCAUCGAUGAAGAACGCAGCGAAAUGCGAUAAGUAAUGUGAAUUGCAGAAUUCAGUGAAUCAUCGAAUCUUUGAACGCACAUUGCGCCCUCUGGUAUUCCGGGGGGCAUGCCUGUUCGAGCGUCAUUAUAACCACUCAAGCUCUCGCUUGGUAUUGGGGUUCGCGGUUUCGCGGCCCCUAAAAUCAGUGGCGGUGCCUGUCGGCUCUACGCGUAGUAAUACUCCUCGCGAUUGAGUCCGGUAGGUCUACUUGCCAGCAACCCCUAAUUUUUUUAAGGUUGACCUCGGAUCAGGUAGGGAUACCCGCUGAACUUAAGCAUAU
rnacentral:rRNA from 1 species